CUCCAUCCAUUCAUCCCCAUUAUGUCCUAAACCUUUUCACACUUUCCUUUCAAACUUGACAUAGAUAUUGUGCAAACAUCUUCAUGUUUUCAAAUUAAAAACCUGGACUCAAGUCCUUGACUUUUUUUCAAACUCCAUUUCAUAACACUUCUUUGAAUCAAUCUUAAUCAUAUUUUGACUCCAUUUUUCAUAAUCACAAUCAAUUAACUUCACUCAUUCACUUGUUU
rnacentral:lncRNA from 1 species